GUGAGUAACACGUGGGUGAUCUGCCCUGUACUUCGGGAUAAGCCUGGGAAACUGGGUCUAAUACCGGAUAUGACCCAAGGUUGCAUGACUUUGGGUGGAAAGAUUUAUCGGUACAGGAUGGGCCCGCGGCCUAUCAGCUUGUUGGUGGGGUAACGGCCUACCAAGGCGACGACGGGUAGCCGACCUGAGAGGGUGACCGGCCACACUGGGACUGAGACACGGCCCAGACUCCUACGGGAGGCAGCAGUGGGGAAUAUUGCACAAUGGGCGAAAGCCUGAUGCAGCGACGCCGCGUGGGGGAUGACGGCCUUCGGGUUGUAAACCCCUUUCGACAGGGACGAAGCGCAAGUGACGGUACCUGUAGAAGAAGCACCGGCCAACUACGUGCCAGCAGCCGCGGUAAUACGUAGGGUGCGAGCGUUGUCCGGAAUUACUGGGCGUAAAGAGCUUGUAGGCGGUCUGUCGCGUCUUCUGUGAAAACUUGGGGCUCAACCUUAAGCUUGCAGGGGAUACGGGCAGACUAGAGUACUUCAGGGGAGACUGGAAUUCCUGGUGUAGCGGUGAAAUGCGCAGAUAUCAGGAGGAACACCGGUGGCGAAGGCGGGUCUCUGGGAAGUAACUGACGCUGAGAAGCGAAAGCAUGGGUAGCAAACAGGAUUAGAUAC
rnacentral:rRNA from 1 species